rnacentral:rRNA from 1 species
CCUACGGGUGGCUGCAGUAGGGAAUAUUGGACAAUGGGCGAAAGCCUGAUCCAGCCAUGCCGCGUGAUAGAUGAAGGCCCUCUGGGUUGUAAAUAUCUUUUAUCUGGGAAGAAACAAUCUUAUUCUUAAGAUCUUGACGGUACCAGAGGAAUAAGCACCGGCUAACUCCGUGCCAGCAGCCGCGGUAAUACGGAGGGUGCAAGCGUUACUCGGAUUAACUGGGUUUAAGGCGUGCGUAUACGGCAGUGGUGAAAGCUCCGAGCUUAACUUGGAAACUGCCAUUGAUACUGCCAGUCUUGAAUGUCGUAGAGGUAAGCGGAAUGUUGCAUGUAGCGGUGAAAUGCUUAGAUAGGUUACAGAACACCAAUUGCGAAGGCAGCUUACUAUGCGAUGAUUGACGCUGAGGCACGAAAGCGUGGGGAGCAAACAGGAUUAGAUACCCUUGUAGUC